rnacentral:lncRNA from 1 species
AUCAUGAAAUGCACAUAUUUUUUGUGUCAUGCUUUGCGAAGUCUUUACAAACUUCCAUCUCUGAAGGCAGAUACAGAUUUCCAACAAUCUAAGUGGAAUGACUAUAUUAGAUACAGAUACGAAAAUUUGCUCAGGCCCACUUCCAGCUGGCUAAACCAUAGUACAAUCUAUGACUACGGUCAUACUAAUCAUAGUGGUCAUAACAAAUAUCUAUAGUCAUAAUAUUACUUAAUCAUGGGUGACCCGUAUAGAUAGUGCGAUACCACUCUCGUCAGAUGGUACACCGUC